rnacentral:rRNA from 1 species
GACGAACGCUGGCGGCGUGCUUAACACAUGCAAGUCGAACGGAAAGGCCCUGCUUUUGUGGGGUGCUCGAGUGGCGAACGGGUGAGUAACACGUGAGUAACCUGCCCUUGACUUUGGGAUAACUUCAGGAAACUGGGGCUAAUACCGGAUAGGAGCUCCUGCUGCAUGGCGGGGGUUGGAAAGUUUCGGCGGUUGGGGAUGGACUCGCGGCUUAUCAGCUUGUUGGUGGGGUAGUGGCUUACCAAGGCUUUGACGGGUAGCCGGCCUGAGAGGGUGACCGGCCACAUGGGGACUGAGAUACGGCCCAGACUCUUACGGGAGGAAGCGGUGGGGAAUAUUGCACAAGGGGCGGAAGCCUGAGGCAGCAACGCCGCGUGCGGGAUGACGGCCUUCGGGUUGUAAACCGCUUUCGCCUGUGACGAAGCGUGAGUGACGGUAAUGGGUAAAGAAGCACCGGCUAACUACGG